AUGCCACCCACCAAACAACAGGAGCCAGUUGGAGAAAUGGACAGAAUCAAUAAGGACAACGGGGAACUUAGUGCGUCAGGGGAGAGUUCAGAGAGCAUAGAAGCGGAAACUACCCAAAUCCAAAGUCAGACAAAUGGGGACCUGAAAGCACAUGAGGAUCCAGUGGUGCUUCUGAAAGAUCAGCUAACUCAGCUGGGUACUAUAAGACAACGGUUACCAGAACAAAGAGACCAAGAGCUCAAUAGACUUCUGCUUCUGUUCAUCCAGGUACAGAAAAUCAGUGAGAGGAGUGGAGGAGAACUGAUUAUUCAAUACAUUGGCAGUCAUUUAAAUAUGAUUAAUUGCAUAUAAUAUGUUUAGUUUAUAUACAAAUGCAUAUACAUACUGUAUAUUUUACAAACACACUACUGGUCAUAUUUGGGACUGGUAAGAUUUGUUCAUUUUUUGAGAGCCCAACGCUGCACAUGCACAAACAGCAGGCUUAGUGCUGUUUGUGCAUGUGUGGGGAUUUACACACGUGUGACUCAUUGACUUACAACUCCUGGAUUCUUACUGGGAUUUAACCAUACAGAGAGUAAGGCACCACAUCCACCAUCUGCUUGAAAAGUCACACAGAAGCAGAGACUGAAGUUGGGAAUGCUGAAAUAUUCACACAGCUUAAAGGGGUCCUAUUAUGCUCUUUUACAAGGUCUUGAUUUUGUUUUGGAACAGGCUCUCAUACUAGGUUGUUAGAAAAACACAUACUUUUUCCACGUAUUUUACAUUGUUACAACACCUCUCUCCCCAGUCUGGCAUGAAUGGCUUGAAUAGUUCCUUUAUCAAAUGAAUGCCCACCUUCUGAAAUAUGAGAUGUGCUGUGAUUGGUUAGCUGGGCCAGUGUGUGUUGUGAUUGACUGCACUCGGCGCCUGGGUGCUACCAAAAAUAUAUUGCAUUGGUUUAAGGGUAAGUCUAGGGUAUGGGUAGGUAUGGACAUUAAAAAAGCCUCAAACUACAUUAAUAAGAUGCUGGUAGCAUAAUCUGAGCGGGUAGCAUUUAUCGCUAUCGAUUUGUGCUACCUAUCUUUUUAAUGGGAGUUAGCACAAUCUGAGCGGGUAGCACAAAUCAUUAGAACACUUUGCGGCAACUUCCUACAAUUUAUUAUUUUUUAAUUAAUUUUUUUUUUCGCUCAGACUUUCAGGUAUCAAGUUUCUCUCAGGUGUUCUACAGUAGAAAUCCUGGAGCUGUAAAAUUAACCCAUUGCUUUUUUUAUUUAUUAACUUUUUUUUAAGGAGCCAGUUGGAGAAAUGGACAGAAUCAAUAAGGACAACGGGGAACUUAGUGCGUCAGGGGAGAGUUCAGAGAGCAUAGAAG
ensembl:lncRNA